GGUAUAACUCAGUGGUAGAGCAUUUGCCUAACAUGCACAAGGCCCUGGGUUCAAUCCCCAGCACC
rnacentral:tRNA from 1 species